rnacentral:lncRNA from 10 species
CCGAGUUCAAGCAAUUCUCCUGCCUCAGCCUCUCGAGUAGCUAGGACUACAGGCAUGUGCCAUAUCACCCGGCUAAUUUUUGUAUUUUUAGUAAAGACAGGGUUUCGCCAUGUUGGCCACCAGGCUGGUCUCAAACUCCUGUCUUCAAGUGAUCUGCCAGCCUCGGCCUCCCAAAGUGCUGAAAUUACUGGCGUGAGCCACUGUGCCCAGCCACAGGGUAACUAACCCAGUUCUAUUAAUAGCACUAGCCCCACCCUCUGGGGGAGGGUUCUGGGUGGUUUAAGUCAUUCACAGAGGUCCCAGUCCUCACACCAGUGAGUGGUUGAGGCAUCGAAGUGUGCUGUGCCAUUGGCACAGUCAGCUACUGCAGCCUAACAAACUACUUCAAAACUUAAAAUAACAGCAUUUCUUUUGCUCAACACAACUGUAAUUGGGGCAGGAAUCAGUGAGGACGACUUGUCUCUGCCAUGUGGUGUCAGGUGGGCCAAGAUGACUGGGACUGAAGGGCCCAUUUCCAAGAGGGCUCACUCACAUGGCUGGCAAGUUGUGCCAGCUGUAGACUGGUCACCCAGCCUAGGCUGAGGGCCAGGGGACCCCUGCUUGGCUGGGUUCCAAAAGUGAGUGUCCCAAGAGACAAGAAGUAGAAGCUGAUGGUUUUUUAUGGUCUGAGCCCUAAGAAACUGGCAGUGUCACUUUUGUCCUAGUUUAUUGGUCAAGCAGGAACUUGACCCACCUAGCUCAGAUUCAAGGGAGGGUAUAGACCUCACGUCUCAAAGGGAGGGGUAUAAUUUAAGGGCGACGUUGUUAAAACUGUCAUAGCCAAGAGAACAUGGGAAGUCU